rnacentral:rRNA from 1 species
UACGGGGGGGGCAAGCGUUGUUCGGAAUUACUGGGCGUAAAGGGUUCGUAGGUGGCUUGCUUAGUCAGACGUGAAAUCCCUCAGCUCAACUGGGGAACUGCGUCUGAUACUGGCGAGCUUGAGUGCAGGAGAGGGAUGCGGAAUUCCAGGUGUAGCGGUGAAAUGCGUAGAUAUCAAGAGGAACACCUGAGGUGAAGACGGGUUGCUGGGCCGACAUUGACGCUGAGGCGCGAAAGCCAGGGGAGCAAACGGG